rnacentral:rRNA from 1 species
GUGGGGAAUCUUGCGCAAUGGGCGAAAGCCUGACGCAGCCAUGCCGCGUGAAUGAUGAAGGUCUUAGGAUUGUAAAAUUCUUUCACCGGGGACGAUAAUGACGGUACCCGGAGAAGAAGCCCCGGCUAACUUCGUGCCAGCAGCCGCGGUAAUACGAAGGGGGCUAGCGUUGCUCGGAAUUACUGGGCGUAAAGGGAGCGUAGGCGGACAUUUAAGUCAGGGGUGAAAUCCCGGGGCUCAACCUCGGAAUUGCCUUUGAUACUGGGUGUCUUGAGUGUGAGAGAGGUAUGUGGAACUCCGAGUGUAGAGGUGAAAUUCGUAGAUAUUCGGAAGAACACCAGUGGCGAAGGCGACAUACUGGCUCAUUACUGACGCUGAGGCUCGAAAGCGUGGGGAGCAAACAGGAUUAGAAACCCCAGUAGUCC